rnacentral:rRNA from 1 species
AGCGAACGCUGGCGGCAGGCUUAACACAUGCAAGUCGAACGGUCCUUCGGGAUAGUGGCGGACGGGUGAGUAACACGUGGGAACGUGCCUUUAGGUUCGGAACAACACAGGGAAACUUGUGCUAAUACCGGAUGUGCCCUUCGGGGGAAAGAUUUAUCGCCUUUAGAGCGGCCCGCGUCUGAUUAGCUUGUUGGUGAGGUAAUGGCUCACCAAGGCGACGAUCAGUAGCUGGUCUGAGAGGAUGACCAGCCACAUUGGGACUGAGAUACGGCCCAAACUCCUACGGGAGGCAGCAGUGGGGAAUCUUGCGCAAUGGGCGAAAGCCUGACGCAGCCAUGCCGCGUGAAUGAUGAAGGUCUUAGGAUUGUAAAAUUCUUUCACCGGGGACGAUAAUGACGGUACCCGGAGAAGAAGCCCCGGCUAACUUCGUGCCAGCCGCCGCAGUAA